CAGACGAUGCGUCAUGCAUAUCAAUAAGCGGAGGAAAAGAAACUAACAAGGAUUCCCCUAGUAACGGCGAGUGAAGCGGGAAGAGCUCAAAUUUGAAAUCUCAAAGGGUUUCCCUUUACGAAUUGUAGUUUAAAGAAGUGUUUUCUGUUGAGGUUUUGGUAAAAGUUCUUUGGAAUAGGACAUCAUAGAGGGUGAGAAUCCCGUAUUUGACCUUUACUUUCAACUUUGUGAUACACUUUCAAAGAGUCGGAUUGUUUGGGAAUGCAGUCCAAAAUGGGUGGUAAAUUUCAUCUAAAGCUAAAUAUUGGCGAGAGACCGAUAGCGAACAAGUACCGUGAGGGAAAGAUGAAAAGAACUUUGAAAAGAGAGUUAAACAGUACGUGAAAUUGUCAAAAGGGAAGCGUUUGACACUAGUGUUGUUUUUCUGAAAAUCAAUUAAAGAACUGUUUAUGCUAAGUUGUUUAGACUUUAUCAGCUAUCUGUUUAGUUUUGAGCUUUUCUUUAAUGCACUUUUCAGUUAACAAGUCAACAUCAAUUUCUUUUGCUGUAAAAAAGCUUGAGGAAGGUGGCUUGAGAUUCGUCUUAAGUGUUUAUAGCCUCUUGCCUAUGCAGUCGGAGAGAUUGAGGUCUGCAGCGUAGAUCCUUCGGGGCUAAAUGCAUUUGUGCUAAGUUAUAGCAUUUUAUAGACAACUUGUUGACUAUGAUUUGUCUUGUAGCUUACUCGCUUAUGUUAUUUUACCUACGCUUAGGAUGUUGACACACGCGCGUGCUCG
rnacentral:rRNA from 1 species